UUCACAUGUUUAAAAGUUUCAAGAUAUUUUAUUCAUUUCUAUCCACAGAAGAGUUCAGCUUAUCACCAGAGGUAGCUCUAUAAAUGAAUGCUCCCACAACUCUGCUUAUUCACACACAACUGAACUGAAGAAAGAAGAGAAAAACCUUAAUCUCAUUCAUAGCCAGCCAAAGAAAUGGCGAGUGCAACGUUCUUUGUUAUCUUCCUUCUUUCUGCCCUAACUUUCUACCCUCCUUCAACCACUGCUCAACCUGUCACAGACGGGGAGGGUAACAUCGUUAGAAAUGGUGGCCGAUUCUAUAUAAGGCCACGCUUUUUUGGAGUCGGCGGUGGAAUUGAACGAGCCAGAACUGGAGACGAAGGAUCCCCUCUCUCUGUUGUGCAAUCUCCCUUCGAUACUGAUCCAGGGCAACCAUGGAUUAUUGGAUCCUUGACCCAAUCCUUGUUUAUUCCUGAAGGCAGAGUCAGCAUUAGUUACGAAUAUGUUCAACUGGGUGACUCUGUUGAGAGUAAUGAGUGGGUAGCUGUUGAGGUUCAGCUUGCAGGAACCGUCGUUAAAGUUGGCUACUCAAAUGCCAUUUCAGGUUUCUUCACUAUUCACAGAGCUUCCACAGCCAAUACCUAUAAAUUUCAGUUCUGUUCAACUGCUGGGUCCUGCAGUAAUGUUGGGAUUGUUAGGGAUGAAGCAGGGAACAGGAUUUUGGCCAUCAAUCAGGGUACCCCAUUUUUCGAGUUUUAUCUUCAGGAACUUCCCUAUGAAGUAUCUAAAUGAAGCUCUGAACAUGAAAACAUGGUACACUUUCUCCGUUAGAGAGAGGUGUCUACGAUGUGCUUUGGACGUAAUUAACUACACAACACUAAAUAAAUAACAUAUCCAAAGCUUAUUUCUGUUUCUUCUUUCUUUUUAAUAUUUAAAAACUUUUACCUCUCCCAAUUUAUUAUAUCAUAAUUUAUUAAAAAGAAAUAAAAUUAUAUUCUAUAAAACAUAGGAAACUGUAACUUAAAAAAAUUUAAAUAAAUUCAGUAAAAAUAUUAAACCAUUUAUAUUAUUUUUUAUAAAAAUUAAAUUAGUAAAUUAUCAUUAUAAUGAUUUUUUUAUGAAAAAAUAUGAAUUUUAAACUAUAUAUGUUUAUAAAAAUGUAAAUUUUUCUCUAUCAUUUUCUAAAACGAAAUUAAUUGUUUAUAAUAAAAAAAAAUACAUAGUGUAUAUGUUUUUACAAGGUUUAUAAAUUAUAUUAUUUACUCGAGCACCCAUAUUAUUUUACAUAAAAUGCUUCAUAACAUUUUUUUCCUCUUUUAUAUUUAUAGUAAUAAUUACAUGUUUUUGUCUAUUUAUGUUUUACUUUAUGUGAUUCCUAUAAUUUUAAAAAAGACCCAAUAUAGUCCUUAUAUUUGAUAAAGAUACAUGUACCUCAAUGUUAACUAAUUUUAUUGUUUAUAAUUCACACAUGCACAUUGAACUUUCAUAUUUCUUUUUCAUUAAAAACACUAGUCACCAUAAGAAAAAUUGAUAUUAUUAACGGUCAAAAUUUGUCUCACAGUGUUUAAUAAAACCUUACAAUAUCAUAAUGUUUCUGAUUUUUUAUGAUGACAACACAUUAUUAAUAACACAUGUAUUGAUAUGUGUUACAUGUUCGUUACUUUCCUGUGUAUGAUUACUUGAGCACAUGUUUGUGUUAAUUCUGUCAUUGUGUGCAAUUUAACUUUGUUCUACAUGAGAUAUUAUCUGUGAUUGCAUAACAUAUGAUUUGGAAAAGAAAAACCACAUGCACUUUUGUUGAACUUAUAUUGUGUGGCAAAAUAAUAGUUUUAAGUCGACUUCAUUAUGAAGCAAGUCAAUUAAAACUCGUGUCUUUGCACAAACAUUUUCAAAGUGUGCUAUGAACAGUUCUGCAAAGAAAGUUUUUCAAAACUGCAUUGAAGUGUAACUUAGUCGACUAUGUGCGCAAGCCAUUCGACUUAGUUAGUUUUGUUUUGAAAAUCUGUUAAUGCUUGUGAAGUAUAACGACUAUAUUUUGUAUCUUUGACCAAGCAUUAAUUGUUAGUCAACUGUAUUAAAUGUGUAAUCAAUUUAGUUGGUCUGAUUGCUAUUAUCUAUUAUAACUGUUAUAACUGUCUGCAUUGAGUCGACUGCAUUAGUCGCACAAUCGAUUAGUGGAGCGCCUAUUUUGUGAUAAACUAUAUAUAAAUGCGAGUUUGAUUUCAAAAAGAGACUUUUGUGAUUUCAGUGAUUCUUUUCAAAUUUUGUAGAACGUGCUAAGCUCCAAGAACUCAUCAAGAAGACCGUGGUGAUCGUUCUUUGGUGGUUGCUUGAAGAGCAAGUGUUUGUGAUGAUAGAAAGAUUGAUCAUACUACACAUAAAGGUGUUUGGAACGUGAUCGACUACUUCUCUCAAUCUUUGGAAGAUUGUAGCUGCCCUGUUCUGAUUACAGGAAGAGGAGGUGAUGCGUCCAAAGACUCUAAGGAUUGUUCAAAGUGAUUAAAGAUUGUAGGAGAGGGGAUAUCUUGUUGAUGUUCUUUGUGUGUAUAUGCCUAUAUUUUGACGUGGAGAUCUCUAUAAAAACGUUGUUGUAAAAACCUUGACCAUUAUAGUGCAUUUUCUUCCGGGUACGAGAAGGACACUAGAUGUAGGCAGUUUGGCCGAACCAGUAUAAAAAUUGCGUUCAAAUCUUCUAUCCCAACACUUUUACAUUUCAAGUCAACUUUACUUUUAACGUACUCAACUAUCUUCCGCUGCACUUGAAUUAUCUUUUUCCUUGCGAUUCAAGAAACUUUUGAAAGUUCUAUCUUUUACGAAAAAGAUUUUAAAAAGACUCUGAUUUUUUUAUUUCACCAAUUCACCCCCUUUCUUGGUGUUGAAACUAUGUCAUUCUAUUUUCAACAAUUGGUACCAAAGCUGAUUUUCAUAAGAUAUUUGAAAAACUAGUCGACUUCAUUUUUCUUUGAAUCGACUAUUCCUAGAAUAUGGCCUAUAGUUUUCAAACCUUUGGUGAUGGUGUAUCGACAAAUAGACCACCAUUGUUUGCUGGUGAAAACUAUCCUUUUUGGAAAAUACGAAUGCAAAUUUUUCUUGAAUUAGUGGAUAGAAUUAUUUGGGAUGCAACAGUAAAUGGUCCUUUUCAGCCAACUCAUAUUAUUAAUGGCAAAACAAUUUUGAAAAAAUUUUCUGAGUGGUCUCAAGAAGAAAAUUGUAGAGCACAGUAUGAUGUUAAAGCACGAAAUAUAAUUGCCUCUACGCUAACAGUUGAUGAAUUUUUCAAGAUCUCUCAUUGCAAAAUUGUCAAAGAAACGUGGGACAUGCUGGAAGUCAUACAUGAAGGCAUGGAUGAGGUCAAGAGAGCCAGAAAGAAUCCUUUAAUACAAGAGUAUGAACUUUUCAGAAUGAGGACUAAUGAAACCAUAUAUGAGGUUCAAGAAAGGUUCACUCACAUUGUCAAUCAUCUAAUGACUCUUGGGAAAGUGUUCGAUAAAGAGGAGAUCAACAUAAAGGUACUCAAAAGUUUGAAUAGAAGCUGGCAACCAAAAGUCACUGCAAUCUCUGAAUCCAAGGAUCUAAAAAGCAUGAAUAUGACUACCUUGUUCGGGAAGUUAAGUGUACAUGAACUUGAACUUGGAAGAUUGAAAGAUGAGGAAGAGAUUGAAAAAAAGAAGUUCAUAACACUGAAGGCUAUAAACAUGAAAGCCUCAAAGACUGUACAAUCUGAGGAUCAUUUUGAUGCUGAAUUGGACAACAACGAACUAAUGUCCAUGGUGGUAAGAAAAUUUAAUCAGUUUAUGAAAAAUACUAGUCAACUUACUGACCAUGUAGGAAAUAGCAAAGGAAACAAAAUUACCAGAUCAAAUGCAGUUCAAUGUUAUGAAUGCGACAAAGAAGGACACAUCAAGCCUGAUUGUCCUGAUCUGAAGUUGAAGUAGAAAACAAACAGGAGGUUCCCCAAGGACAAGAAUAGAAAGCAGAAAAGUGCUUAUCUUGCCUGGGAAAAUACUGACUCAGAAUCCUCAAGUGAUGAAGAAUGUGAUCAAUAAGAGGAAUUAAAUAUAUGCUUCAUGGCUGGAAAAUCAUUGACAAAUUAUGAUAAUGAUACAGAGUUCGAGAAAGAACCUAUUGAAGUGAAGUACGACCUGUUGCUGGAUGCAUUUUAAGAAAUACACGCUGAAGCCGACUAUAAUACAAGGUUAAUCGACUUAACUCUGAGAGAAAGGAUUAUGAACAUAUGAUAAAUAAUCUAGUCAAUGAUAAUGAUAAACUGCAAAAGGAAUUAGAUGCAACUUUAUUAUCCUACUCGGGUUGAACAAAUAGAUUACUUGACUAGUACACUAGCAAAGUUCACUCAGGGUAGAGAUAAUUUAGAUGAUGUUUUAAAGUGAUCUGGUAGAGCUAUAUACAGACAAGGUAUUGGAUAUAAAGCUCAAUCAAAUAAGACCAAUACAAAGAAGUUUGCUAACUUGAGUAAACCUGUUAAACAUACAUGUUUUUACUACAAUAACAUUGGUCACACUAUUAGAAAUUGUUUUUACAGAAAGGUUGGUGUUCCAAAAUGAAUGUAUAAGUGGGUUCCUAAGGAACAAUUGUCUGCUAACAAACAAGGACCCAAAUUCAAAUUGGUACCUGCAUCAAAAAAUGUUAAUUGUUUUGCAGGAUAGAAAGUGAGUAGUAGUGGAGAUCUCAAGGAUGAACUAAUAUGGUUAUAUCAAAUUUCUUGAGUAUCUCCAAGCGGUAACAAUCAUUUUAUGUUUGCAUCAUGUUUGAUAUGUAUGAUUGUGUGAUUGCUUGAUUGUUUAAUGAUAUGUAUGAUUGAUUGAUUUUAAUUGUUUACUGUGAAAAUCAAUUUUUACGACUUUUAGUCGAUUAGAUUAUGUGCACAGUCGAUUGCAUGUUGUUGUAUGUAUGUUUCUGUUUUUGAAAACUCUCUGUCAUACAGUAGUCAACUUUAAAAUUAAUGGAAUGGACUAGAUAUCUCUGUCAUUAGCCUUUUUGUUUUGAAAAUUUAAAAUGGGCUAAAUCUUGGUGGAACUUAAUUUGUGCCUUUAAAUAUGAUUGCUUGUAUUGACUCUACUUCAUGCAUGUUGUAAGAAAAACCCUUAUUUUUGUUCAAGAAGUCUCUACACUCUUUACAAAUCUUCAAAAAUGGCUGCUUCAUCAUCUCAACCUGGAAAGUGCUCGACUUGUACAAGAAGAGCAGCAAAUCCUUUUGGGUGGUUCAGCGAUGAUGAUCAAAGAACUGACAUUAUAUGCAAAUGGGGUUUUAUGGAAGUGAUCAGGCAUAAGUGCAUGAGUAUUCUAUUCUUCCACAAUGAAGGCUUUGCAUUUCAAGAAUGGUUUGAGAGAGCUGGCUUGACAAAGUUUGUAGAACUCCAAGGGGAUUGUUAUCCAAACCUAGUGAAGAUUUUCUAUUCAAACCUGAGAAAAGAAGGAAACAAUCUUAUAUCAAGACUAAAAGGUGUAAACAUCUGUAUAGGCUAUUUCAUUUGGAAAUAUGUUGCAAGACUUCAACAAGAAGGAUUGAUGGCACAUCAAGUAUUUCUGGUUUCUACAAAACUGAAUUAUACAACAACUUCUUGAAGAAUCCUUACUUGGUUGGUAGAUAUGAAUCCUUUGGCAUCGAGAACUUAAGUAAGGAAGAAAGCUUGUGCGCAUAUAUGAUUACUUGGAUACUACUUCCAAGGGAUGAAGAUCAAUCACUGCUGAAUGGUGAAGAUAUAUACCUAUUGUAUGCCUUACAAACUGGUACUCCAACAAACUAAGCCUUAGUGAUUAGUGAUUAUAUGUUAAGGUUUGCAAAACGAAAAGAGUAUUAUCUACCAUACGGUGUCUUCAUCAGUAAAAUAUUAAGAAUGCAAAAUGUGGAUCUCAAAAAUGAAAAAACUAUUGGUUGCAACAAGAACAAUGUUUUGGAGAAAUUGUUUUUAGAUUCUGUGGGAUUCAGGAAAGUGAAAGAAGGCUGGAUAUUCAAGAAUGACUACAUUCCUAGUACUGAAGAUAUGAGUCCUAUAAACAUUGAUUUAUCCAAAUACAAAUUUCUACCCCAAACAAUAUUUGAAGAAUUUGUGGAUGAAAGGUUCAAAAGACUUAAUGAAAAGAUGAUAGUGCUGCAAAAAUCACUCAUAAAGCUGCAUAGAAAGAUGGACUAUGCACUAAGGAUAAAUGCCUUUUUAGAUACCUCAGCGAAUGAUUCUGAUAGUGGAAAGAACAACACUGACAAAAAGAUUAUAGAGUCUUCCAAAACAAAAUAGGGUCUUGUGUUUACAACAUUGUGUCAUGAGUCAUGUUUGAUGAAGUGUUUCGUCAUUUUAGUUUGAGUGUUUUAGUUUCUUUUGGAAUAGGCCUUAUAUGGCACUGUCUUUGAGAUAUCUGAUUGUAACACCCUUUUGGAAUAUUAAUGAAAUCAGAUGUUUUUUUUUUUUUUUAAUUUGAUCAGUGUUAAUUUGAUAAUUGAAAUCGUUUAAAUCAAAUUAAAAUGGACUCUGUGUUGACUGAAGUUGAUUAUGUUGUGUUUAUCUUUACAUUGAUAUUUUUGCAUAUUCACUUCUUAACUGUAUAAUUUCUUUCAUUAUAAUGAUUCUAAAAUGCUUGAUCUACAAAAGAUCUUGAAAGGUUUUGCAGGAACUGGAUAAACUACUGGAGUUUCUACUCAAUGGAAAGCAAUGAAAUCGAUUGCCAAUGAAGAACAAUCGACUACUGGUUUACAAGGGUUAUAAAUUCCAUUUAUUGGAAUUUGGUUUAUUGAUCUCAUAUCAUAUACAGUUUCUUUCAAUAUAUCUAUUUCUUUGAUUGAUUGAUAUAUUUGAGAUAUUAUUGAGAUUGUUGAUUGAUUGUAUCUAUGCUUAAUUGAUUUUAUUGUACAAUUUUUGGUUUUGAUACAAUUCUGUCACAUGAUUUUAAUAUGCUUUGAAAUCUGUAAAAACUGCAUUGUGCAUCUGGGUUUUGAUUAUAAAACAUGCAUAAUGACAAGGGGAGCAUUGCAUGAUAGAUUAGAUAUUUCACAUGCCUACACUUAAGGGGGAGAUUUUUUAUUCUGUUUGUUAUUCUUUUCUUUGUUUCUUGGCCAGGAGUGCAAGGUCUUGAGUGUGAGGUGUGUUAAGUUCACAAUUCACCAUGUUUUUAUGAGUUAAAUCACUCCUUUUUGAGUAACUUUUAGUUCUUAUAUGAUUUUGAGAGAUUAGAUUUGUCUUUUCAUGAUAAAAUAGUUGUUUUGAUGAAUUUGUGCUAAUGAGGUGUUUUUAGAUGCGUUUUUUUUUUCUUAGGAUUGUGCUAGUCUUGUUUUAGUCUUUGUAAGUGUAAAUUUCAGUUUUUGAAGCUAACUUCAUGAGGAUUUUUCCAACUUUUUAAUGCAGAGCAAUUCAGUGACUUAGUGUUUUGUUAGGUAAGUAGGUAAGUAUGUUUUGUUAGGUUGCCUUGAUUUAGAAAUUCUAAUUCUGCAGUUCUUUUUGCUUCAACUAGUUUGAUUUAUCUAUAAAUCAUGUUCACUCAUAUAUGUUUGCAUCUUGCAUUGCAUGGUUGAAUCAAGCCAAUAGACAAAAUUCACAUUUGAUGAUAGAAGCACCAGUGUGUUGUUUGAUGCCAAACUAGAUUCUAGUUAGUGAUUUUCGUUUCUGCAUGCAUUUCUUGUUUGUUGCAGUCAUUGCAUAUUCAUUUUCUGCUUUUUUGAUUCAUUGAAGCAUUUUUGCAAAUAAUUUGGUAAAACUGCAUGUUCAUUCAAGCAUUUCAUUAAAUAGUUUGAGAUUUCAUAAUUAGGCAUAGCUUUUCGUAAUUGUAAGCAUCCCAACAUAUUACAUUAUAUCAUUCUUACUGUUUUAAGUAAUUCUUAUUUUCUAACCAGUUUAAUACCAUUUCAUGAUGAAUUAGUCAUCUACCUAAUGCAUAAGCAUACUAUUCUAUCAUAGCUCAUUUUAAAAAUAGUAUUUUACAUACAUUUUAAUUCAUUUUAUCAUUUCCCCAUCUUCUUGCGAAAACUUAACACUAACUAAGAAACAGAUUAGCUUUCAUACCAAUUUGUUGUACAAUUCAAUGCCAAAAUUAUUCUAAAGAUAAGAACUUGCAGAAAGGGUAAAACAAAUCACACAUUGGGAAAUGAUGAUUCAAUAAUUAUAUAAAGUUAUAAAUAUUAUGAAUUAAUGAUUUUUUAUUGGUUUUCUACAAUUACUCGUAUGUUUUUAUUUUUUUUUCUGAGAUUUAUCUAUUUUUAUUAACUAUUUGUAAAAAGUAUCAUUUGGGUUGAAUUUUAUAUUUAUAAAUAGGAUUUUUCAUCUUAAUAAUAUAAUACAUAAAAUUAGUCUUCAUUCUCUUUUAUUUUCUCUUUUUCCUCUUUUUUUUUUCUUCAUUAUCAGCUUUAUAUUUUAUAACAAUAAAUACAUAUAUCAUAUUCUGUUUAAAAAAAAAAGAGCCUUAUUUCAUCCUUCGUAUACAAUGCGUAUUCUAUUCAACCUUACAAAGGGACACAAAGUUCUUACAAGUAAGUUAAACCUACAAACAAAAUCUAAAUAAUAGAAAAUGUAUGUAUAAGACGAUUGGUCCACCAACCUGACAUUAAUACUAGACAACGUCUACAAUUGUUUGAUGAUUUUCAAGGGAAGACAUCUACAUUUUGAACACAUAGUUUUAUUUAUUAUUAAUAAAAUUAUACAAAAGAAUAAUCAUCUAGUAUUCCUAAACUAGUUAGGAACUAAACCAUUCAGGUCUUAACAAUAUUUAAUUUAAGACUAAAUUUUGUAUGAAUAAAUAAAAACUUUCUUAUGUCCAUUAAUCAACAAAAAUAUGAUUUCUAUUUAUGUUAUAAGUUUUCAAUAAUAAUAGAGAAUAAAAAAGAAAUAAUUUUUAAUUUAAAAAAUAGUUUUCCACUUAAUUACUAUAAUAAUUGAGUAUUUCUCUCUAAAUUACUUAACAAAAUAAAUUUUUAGUUUUAAAUGACCAACUUGCAAAUUAAUACAAAAAUUGUCUGAUAAUUAAAUCAAUCAAAAUAUAAUAUAUUUUGUGGUGAAUAAUAUACUUUACGCAGGAUAAGGAUGACGCUUUUGGCGUACGAGGCUUUGAUGGUCCCCAAACAAUAAAUAGGGGCCAAGUUUAAUGUAAUGUGCGGCGAAAAUUACAUAGACACAAUUUAGGUCUUGGUCCCAAACAUCACAAUCCUUCUGCCAAUAAUUACAUAGACACAAUUUAGGCACGUGAGAGCUAAUUUUGUAAUCAUUUCAUCGGAUGUUCUCGAAGGGAUAUGUAGGACAGUGUUUUCUAAAUUGAAUUAAUUAAUUUUAGCAUAGUGCUUAAUAAACAUUAGAGCUUUCAAUUUCACAUUCACACAGAAAGUAAUUGGCACGGCCUAAAAGGAUAAUAAGUAACUAUCCGAUAAAUAUACUAAUAAACACAAUUCAAUAAGUUCUAUUUAGUAAUAUUGGUCCAAUUAGAUAAAUAUUGUUAACAAAAGAGAUUUUUUUGAUUUAGUUAUCAUAUAUUAAAGUAUAAUCAAAUAUUAAUAGUUUGAAAAUUGAUGUAAGAAAUAUUUUUUUAUAUCUUAUAUUAAUAAGAUAUAUGAUUAAUUUGGUUUAAUGGUAUAUUAUAUAUAUAUAUAUAUAUAUAUAUAUAUAUAUAUAUAUAUAUAUAUAUAUAUAUAUAUAUAUAUAUAUAUAUAUGGGUUUGCUAACUUGCGUAUGUCUAUUUUUCAGUUAGUACAAUUUAGCAAUGUAUAUCGGGUUUCAGUAGACAAAAAUACUCCUAUAUAUCAUGAAUUCUAAGUUUUAAGGUUAAGGGUAUUUUAAUAAUUUUCAUUCUCAAAAUUAAAAAAAUAAAAAAAAAAACCCAAACUCUUACCCAUCUCUCUCGUUCCUCUCGACCAUUUCUCUUUCAUCUCUUUCACUCCAACCUUUUCUCUGUCAUCCCUACUCUAGCUCCAAUUGAAAAAAAAUCAGAAACACUUGCCUUAUUUUAAUAAUUUUCAUUCUCAAAACUAAAAAAAGAAAACCUCAAACCCUUACUCACCUCCUUCAUUCCUCUCAACCCUUUCUCCUUCAUCUCUCUCACUUAAACAUUUUCUCUAUCAUCUCUGCACUAGCCCUAACUAAAAAAACAUUCAUUAUUAAACGAUUUACUUUUGUAAAGAGUUGAGUCAUAUUCACCUUUCGAAAAAAGUUCAUUCAAAAUCUCUUUAAUUUCAUUAUCUUCACUAUAUAUAUUACAGCCGACGGGCACAACUUGCACCAAGACUUAUGAGCAUCCUUCCUUUACAUUCCUUUACAUUCUGAGACUACUACGUAACAUUGCUCCCUGGCCAUUUAAUUUUUUUGGUAGAAAUUCAUUAACUUGUUUUCCUUUACUAAAGAAAAAAACAAAUCAAAAUACAAUAAAAUUCUCAAUUAUAAAAUCAAACAAUAAAAAUUCUAAAUCUUGAAAUUUUAUUUAUAAUUAUAUAAAGAAAAAAUUAGGUGCUUUAAUUUUUUUAUUUAUGUAAGUAUUUUUUUUCUUNNNNNNNNNNNNNNNNNNNNNNNNNNNNNNNNNNNNNNNNNNNNNNNNNNNNNNNNNNNNNNNNNNNNNNNNNNNNNNNNNNNNNNNNNNNNNNNNNNNNNNNNNNNNNNNNNNNNNNNNNNNNNNNNNNNNNNNAUAUAUAUAUAUAUAUAUAUAUAUAUAUAUAGGUUUGUUAAUGCGCGUACACUUGUUUUUCAAUUGGUACAUUUUAAGAAUGUAUACCAGGUUAUAGUAGACAAAAAUACCCUCAUAUAUUAUGGAUUCUAAGUUUUAAAGUCAAGGAUAUUUAGAUAAUUUUCAUUCUCAAAACUAAAAAAAGAAACCCCCAAACCUUUACUCCCCUCUCUCAUUCCUCUCAAUCCUUUCUCUAUCAUCUUUUUCACUCCAACCUUUUCUCUAUCAUUUCUACUGUAGUCCCAAUUAAAAAAAAAAUCAGAAACACGGGCUGUUAAACAAUUUCUUACAAAAAAAAAAAGAUUUUAUAAUGAGUUUUCAUUUUAUAAUUUUUGUCUUAUCUAAUUUUAUCUAAUUUUCACAAGCAUAAUGAUAUAUGAAGGAAUUGGUAAUUCGCCUGGAAAAAAAUCAGAAACACUCGCUAUUAAACAAUUGGUUUAAACCUCUUUUUUAUAACUUAGGAAUCAAAGGUUUACAUUUUUAAAAGCGGGGACUAAACUGAACAUCCGCUCAUAACUUAGGGACCAAAAAGAGGUUUAAACCUAAACAAUUUCUUACAAAAAAAAUGAUUUUAUAAUGAGUUUUCAUUUUAUAAUUUUUGUCUUAUCUAAUUUUAUCUAAUUUUCACAAGCAUAAUGACAUGAGAAUGAAUUGGUAAUUGGCCUGAAGGUUUUUUAAGAGAUGAUGAUUCAACAUCUGCAGAUGAUGUAAUUAGAGAGGUUAGUGAAGAUGAUGAAAUUGAAGAACCUUUGUCUGAAGGCGAAUAUGUCAAUGACUCAACUCUUUACAAAGGUAAAUUGUUUAACGACGAGUAUUUCUAAUUUCUUUUUUCAGUUGGAUCUACCAUAGGAUGAUAGAGAAAAUGUUGGAGUGAGAGAUGAAAGAGAAAGGGUUGAGAGGAAUGAGGGAGGUGAGUAAAGGUUUGGGAUUUCUUUUUUUAGUUUUGAGAAUGAAAAUUAUUUAAAUAUCCUUGACUUUAAAACUUAGAAUCCAUAAUAUAUGAGGGUAUUUUUGUCUAUUAUAAUCCGAUUAAAAUGUACCAACCAGACAUACACGGGUAAGAUUUCAUUAUUUGUUGAUAUUGUCUAUUUUAUGAUUUUAUAAUAUCAAAAACUCUAUAAAUAUACGAGAUGUUUUUUAGUGAGUACAAUAUAAUUCAUAUUCAUUAUUUUAAUUUUAUAAAUACUGAAACUAUCUUAUAUUAUCCAUUAUUCACUAAUAUUUUUAUUAUGGUAGAAUAAUUUAUUAAAUAUAUGUAGAGAAUACAUGUCAAAUAUUUUUUUUUUUUCCUUUUGGUAACACCUGUCUCAAUUUGGGCUACAAGUUAUAAUAAUAUUCACAAUAAGAAGAAAGGAGUCAAUGCACACUCUGUUCCAAAUUCUGUAUAUCCUUGUGGAUCUCAUCUAUUUCAGUAAAAAGAUUAAUGAGUCACACCCGAAGAAAUCUUUGAGAUAUAUAAUGAAAGAAUCACAAUAUUAUUUGGAUGAUUCAAUAAAACACCUUAUGGAAACUUUACCAAUCAACUUCUUGGCAGCAUUUGAUGAUGCUGUUAGUAUUUUGAGUUUGUGAAAAAAAUAGUUUAUAGGAUAGAGAAAAUAUGGAAAUAGUAGAAUGUAAAAAUAAUAGUUUGAAGAAGUAUAUUUUUUUAGUUGUCUUAGUUGUGGUAGAUGUUGUUUUACAUCAAAUUAUGGAGUAUAUGAGUAUUUAUAGACCCAUAGAUUAUUUUAGAAAAUGCUAACCACAUCUUUUGUGGAAUGCUCUAGAUAUUUACUUAUGUAGAAUGCUCUUGAUUUUUUUCUUCCCAUCUUAAAUUUUCCUAUAGUAUUCUAGAAUUUGUAUUACAUUUUAAUACUUCUAUCUUAGGAUUUUCUAUAUUAUUCUAGAAUUUGCAACACAUUUUAAUACUCUUUCUUGAUGCAAAUUCAGCUCCAAGCAUAGAGCAUAGUAGCUCAAAUCUUGGUCUUGGUAACACCUAUGUAAAAAUAUCUGCAAUUUGGUCUUCUAUUGGACAAUACUCGAGUUGAAUUUGCUUAGUUGUCUGUUUAUUUCGAAUGAAGUGAUAUUUAAUGGCUAUAUGUUUUGUUCUUUGAUGAUGGACUGAAGUUUUUGCUAUUGUUGGUAUCGAUUUGUUGUCAUAAUAGAUAAUGGUCAUCCAAUCUUGUAGUUGACCUAUUUCUUCAAGUAUUCUUCGUAGCUAAAUUACUUAACUCGUGAUUUCAGCAGUUGCUACAUACAUUUCUUUUGUUGUUGAUUGUGCCACAAUUACUUGCUUCUUUGAUACUUUAUAAUGAAUUUGACUUGGCUUUUGCAUGAAUCUUGAUAGAAGACUUGUAGCAUACGUAAUGUCCGGGUGUGCGGUUGUGAGAUACAAGAUACUUUCACUUAAACUCCUGCAGCGUGAUGCAUUUGCCUCUUAUGCUUCAUUAUCUUUUUGCAGCUUCUCGUUUACCACAAAUGGAGUAAUUACAUGUCUACAAUCAUACAUCUUGAAAUUCUUUAAUAGAGUUUCAAUAUAUUUCUUUUGAGAGAUAAAUAUACCUUCUUUUUCUUGUUUCACCUCUAUAUCGAGGAAAUAGUUCCUCAAGCGAAGGUCGAUCAUCUUAAAUGUCUUCAUUAUGUCUUCUAUAAAUUCUUUCAUCAUCUCCGUUUUUUUCCAGUAUAGAUAAGAUCGUCAAUAUAUAAGGAGAUAACGAGAUGAUACUGAUCUUGUGCCUUAAUAUAUAGUGUUGGUUCACUCUUACUCCUCCUGAAUCCUUGAUCGAUGAAGUAUUGAUCAAUCUUGCUAUACCAUGCUUGAGGAGCUUGCUUCUGGUCAUAUAAGGCAUUUUUUUGUCUUAGUACUUUUCCUUCAUUGUCUUUGUUGAUGAAGCCUUGUGGUUGUUCAACAUAAAUCACUUCUUUGAGCACUCCAUUUAGAAAUGUUGAUUUGAAAUCCUGUUGAUAGAUGUUCCAUCCUUUUUGUGUUGUAAGAGCUAUUAAAGCUUUAAUUGUAUCUAAGCGAGCAAUUGGAGCAAAUGUCUCAUUGCAGUCUAUUCCUGACUAUUAUGAGUAGCCUUUAGAGACAAAUUUUUCCUUAUGUUAUAUGUUUUGGAUGUAGGGUCAAGGAUCUCAACAAAACACUCCUUCACCCUUUCCUUUGAGUCAACUUAGGUUAUCUUGAAUACUCUUAGUUAAAAUCCUUUCUAGUCCAAGCUUCAAACUGUCCAGGUGUACCUGUCAAAGGCACUAUGAUGCUCAACAUCUCGACUAAAGGUGAGUUCUUUUGUUUGUAAGUUGUAGAAUUGAUAGCCUUUUAAUUAUGUGUUAUAUCUCAAGAAUAUUCGUCGUAUAGUCUUGUCUUCAUGUUUGUGCCUCAUUUGAUCAAGAACAUGUAUGUAGUAAAUAAAUCCAAAUACUCGUAGGUUUUUAACUAAUGACUCUCUUCCCCUCCAAGCUUCAAUAUGAGUCUUGUCUUGGAUUACCCUAGAUGGACAUUUGUUUAAAAUUUAAACUCUAGUAUAGACUGAUUAAGCCCAAAAGAGUUAGGCAUAGCAUUGAUCUUGCCAUCUCCAUGACUAAGCAAUUCUUUCUCUCUGACACACCAUUUUGUUGUGGAGUAUAUGCGAUUGUAAGUUGUCGUUCUAUGCCUUCAUCGUCGUAGAAUUUGUCAAACUUAUGAGAUAUGUAUUGUUUGCCAUGAUCACUUCUAAGUACUUUUAUCUAUUUUUCUCUUUGCUUCUUGAAAAGAGCCUUGAAAUACUCCAAAGACUUCUGAAUUUUCCUUUAAGAAAUAGAUUCAUGUCAUUCUAAAGAAGUCAUCAAUGAAGAAGAUGAAAUACAUGUUGUGAUAUGUGAAGUUGAGAGAAACACUAGAAAAGGGGUUGAAUAUUGUUUCUAUAUAUCUUUCCGAGACUAAUAUAGUGAUCAUGAUUUGAAUGAUCUUCAUGAGCUAGUUAAAACAUACUUUAUAAGUUAUUCUGAUGAACAUAUUUAUAGUCUUGGGUUUAGCUCAUCCUUCUAGUGGUUAUGAAGGAGCGAAUCUAGGAAAAUGUGGUGUAUGUUGAAGGUGCAUAUGUUGAGAAAUUGUUUUCCACAUAGGAUGAUUUUUUUUUCAAACUAAAGCAUAACACACACAUUUUAUACUGGUUCACUCAAUUGAGCCAUGUCUAUUUUUUCUCUAAAAUAACUUAACCCACUCCUGGUUGUACAGUAUUCUUCACCACUCUUGGUAUCCCUAGACGUUACCCGGUAUCCUCCAAAUACACUCGUCUAGUUGAGUUCACUCACUCCUAGUUUUCACUAGACAUACCCGUCUAGUUACCGUUUAACUCCACCAAAUUAAACGUUAGAGUUUCACCUACUCCUAGUUUCCAUUAGACAACCUAUCUAGCUAUUUUUUAACUCCUUAAAGUUAAACAUACAGUGUUUUAAUUCUCUUAAUAAUUUACAAUCAACAGAUUGAUUACAAGUCCUUAGAUGAUAACUCUCAUAGAGAGGAUAUGCAUUCAGUGCAAUUCAAUCUAAAAGAUGCAUUGAGUGUUUUCUCUCUUCUCUUUGUUAGAAAAAUCAUGAAGAUAAAAUUUUUAAUGAUGCCCAAAUCAAGUCUCAAGCGUUCACCUUGUCUUCCUGAAGACUUUUUUUAUGUUUUAAAGCUUUUGUAAUAAGUAGAUCUAUGUAUAGGGCUUUAUUUGUUGUUGAUUCAAUGUAUUGUUUGCUUUAAAGUUCGUUUUGGAAUCACAAAAACCCUGCAAUAAUUGAUUAACACUUAAGAUAAUCGAUUAUCACAAAUAGGUUUUUAAAAACUCAUUUUUUUCUCUAGAAGAAUCGAUUACCAGCGUAUGAUAAUCAAUUAUGACUUACCAUAAUCGAUUAUCAUAACUAGCCGUUGGAGUUUUUAGGCAUGUUUUUUAUACAAAUUUUGUAUAUGGAUAUCAGAAGGUAAAAUCCGUAUGUAAAAUCCGUAUAUAACUCGUUUUUCAGGAUCUGCAUGUAAAAUCCGUAUGUAAUACCUAUGUUACAUACGGAUCAAAAUCCGUAUGUAAAUAUCAGUAGGUAAUAACAAUUUUUCUUGUCCUUAGCUCAUCAUCCUUGGACCAUUUACCACCACAUUUCCAAACCCUUCAUCGAAGGAAACACCCCUACAUGCACAUCUCCUAGCUUUGGCCCAACCUAACCAAGGAGGUUGCCAUCACAUUAGAAGAAAGACAUGUGAUAAAAAUCCUCUCCAUUAGAAGGAGGACAUGUGGUAAAAAUCCUCUCCAUUAGGAGGAGGACAUGUGGCAAAAAUCUUGUCCAUUAGGAGGAGGACAUGUGGCCACUACCUAUGGAAAAUCCUCUCCAAUGUGAGCAUAAUGCAUGACCGCUCUCACAAAGGUUGGACGACCCACUCCCUUACUCGCCAAGCUAGGUUGAAAACAUUGACCCUUUGGUCUACCUAGCUUAUGGACGUCCACUUGGGUCAACAUUGGACCUUGGCCUUUGUUGAAUCAAGUGGUCUAAAAACCCUACACCAUUUUGCCUAAAAUACAAGGCCCAAAAUAAAACCUACACUACUUGGCCCAAAAUAUAAGGCCAAAUUUAUUCUACUCCUAGUUAAACCUUCAGAUAUACAAUGUCAACAAGCAUAUAAAAGAAUACAAGAACAUUUUACCUGCGAAGGGUAAAGAUGGGAUGAUGGCAUCCACUUUCCUGAUGACGUCGACAUCUUUGAGACGAAGGAUGGUGUUUAUGACCAUUGAAACGUUUUUCAUGUUGGUGAGUUCCAUGCUUGUAAGCCUCACUUAUUUUUGCAAAUCAGAACCUAGCAUGGUUAGCAGCCAAAGAGGAAAACGCAACAAAUUUCAUACGUGGAGGCAGGAUAAAGUUUUACUUGACCCAACAGUGGGCACCAAGUGAUCUUAACAAGAUCAUGAGCGUGGAUUUGCAUAUAGAUGGAAAGAUCCUAGUGGUGGCUUGAAAGCUCUUGCUGGUCAGAAUCAAAUCCCUUGUUGUUGAAAGGUGAGAGAUUUACAUGCAAAAGACUCUUCUACACUAUCAGUAAAAGUGUUUAGAUUUUUAUAAAUAUAGUUGAGUAUGAAUGAAUAUUUCUUAGGAAGUACUAGUUGUAUUUAUAGAAUCAAUAUGAACCGUGAAUCUAUUUUUCUAUGGGAAUAAUGCUUACCUCAAGUAUAUAAUAAAAAUGUAGUUAAUAAUAAUAUAAUGAUGCAUAUCAUAAAUAAUAGUCAUAAUAUUAAUUGUGAUAUGUGGAUAUUAUCUUAAUAGAUAUAAGAUUUGACUGCUUUAGAAUAACGAAACUUAAUGAACCUUAUUAUUAUAUCAUGUUCUUUAAUAUAUCUAUUCAAUCGAGUAAAAAAUAUAUAAAAUUAUUUCAUUUUCAUUAUAUAGGAAUUCAUCACUAACAUCUUUUUACUCUAUUACACUAGUGCAAAAUUGGGCUUUAACGUCACCCCAUAGACGUCAGAACAGAGAACACGCAACAUAAAUUAUUGACCGGUGGCAUUUUCGUAAAUAAGUGGGCAUAUAGACGUCAGUUCGGAGGGGCACCAACGUCUAUAACAUACUAGACGUCGAGGCCCCUCCUAACUGACGUCUAUAUGCCUGAGAGGUAGGUGAAAAGUCACUUCUUUCGGCCAUAUAAAUGUCGUUUAGGAGGGGCACCGACGUCUCUAAUAUUACAGACGUCGGUGCCCCUCUAACCGACGUUUAUAUGCCUGUCAGGUAGGUGAAAAGUCAUUUCUUUCCGCCAUCUAGACGUCAGAUCCUGCCAUACUGACGUCUAUAUGCGAUUAUAGACGUCGGCGCCCCCUUCAUUUGACGUCUAUAUGUACCACGAAUAUUAAUUUUUAAAUCGAAUGGACGUCUCAUUAGUGAGAGCCCCGACGUAUAUUCGAGAACAGACGUCAGUUGCUGGGGAAACCAACGUCUGAUAUUCUUUUAAAUAAUACAUUACAAACCAACAGUUACGCGUACUUCAUCGUCUUCCUUCGCAUUGCAUUUCGAGGUGCGUUUGAUCUCUUGUGAACAAUUUAGCCUUAUGUUUACUCCAAUUAAAGUAAUCUUUGAUGUAUUAUCUUUCGUUUGAACCGAUUAAAAUGAGUGUUGUGUUUUGGUGCGGUUUUUCUUGUGUCUUUGGGUAGUGUAGUGCACCUUCUCCCUUUGCUAGCUUUCCUCGUAAGAAAAGCUUGCGUCUUUUGGAUAUCUUAUGGCAUAUCAACCGAAAGCCAAUCCUGGGUCCUUACCUAGUUUGCAUGUCACCAUAUUAUUUUUCUUUGGCGGUUGGAAUGGAACUAGGCAACGACCCAUGUUCUGUUUUGGGUUGAAAUGCCAUAAGAGAUGCAAAAGACACAAGUUUUUCUUACGAAGAAGCUAGGAAGGGGGUGCUACAAUGCUACCCAAAGACACGAGCAAAACUGCAUUAAAAUACAACGAGUACUCAGUAGACGUCGGUUAAUGCCAUGUCCGACGUCUAUUGUGCCCUUAGACGUCAGUUAGUGCCAUGUCUGGCAUCCUUAUAGUGUCCUUAGACGUCGGUUAGUGUCCUGUCUAACGUCUUUAUAGUGCCCUUAGAUGUCGGUUAUAAUUGCAUUGACUGACGUCUGUAUAAAUGUCAGACAUGGAACUAAACCGAUGUCUGUAAUGACGUCGGACCUGUAGAGUCCGACGUCCGAUUAACGUCACCCAUAUAGACGUCAAGUCUGAAUGUGACGUUAAAAGCCCAAUAUAACAAAUAUCUAAAACCCUUUAUGCACUAAUGAUUCUAUCAUAAGUAACUUUUUGUUUUCUCAUCUUAUAUAAAACAAAUAAAUAUAUUAAAAGAAACUUUAGAAUAUUUAAAUACUUAAAAAUAAAUGUUAAAAUACUUAAAUACUUUAGGAUAUUUAAAAACUUAAAAUAAAUACUUAAAUACUUUAGAAUAUUUAAAAACUUAAAAUAAAUACUUAAAUACUUAAAAUUCUGCAUCGUUAAAAAUUAAAUCCUUAAAAUAAAUUUUAUUUAUUUAGUUUUAAAAGAAACUUUUAGACAUUUAAAAUAUAUAAUUGACCUUUUUUAAGAUGAAAUAAAAAGAAUAUAUUUUUACAGAAUAAAAUAAAAAAUUGGUCUAAAACUGAAAAAUCUAAUUAAAAUUUGACAGGUAUAAAAAGAUAAUAAAUAUAUGUUUAACUACCCAAAAUUUUAAGAAUCUUAUUUUACAGAAAAUCGAAAAAUAUAUUUAAAUCUAACUACUAUUGUACUUCUUUCAUCUUUUUCACAUGUUUAAAAGUUUUAAGAUAUUUUAUUCAUUUCUAUUCACAAAAGAGUUCACCUUAUCACCGGAGGUAGCUCUAUAAAUGAAUUCUCCCACAACUCUGCUUAUUCACACAACUGAACUGAAGAAAGAAGAGAAAAACCUUAAUCUGUUUCAUAGCCAGCCAAAGAAAUGGCGAGUGCAACGCUCUUUGCUAUCUUCCUUCUUUCUGCCAUAACUUUCUACCCUCCUUCAACCACUGCUCAACCUGUCACAGACGGGGAGGGUAACAUCGUUAGAAAUGGUGGCCGAUUCCAUAUAAGGCCAAUCUAUUUUGGAGGCGGCGGUGGAAUUGAACGAGCCAGAACUGGAGACGAAGGAUCCCCUCUCUCUGUUGUGCAAUCUCCCUUCGAGACUGAUCCAGGGCAACCAUGGAUUAUUCGAUCCUUGUUCAAAUCUCAAUUUAUUCCUGAAGGCAGAGUGAGUAUCAGUUACGAAUAUGUUGAACUCGGUGACUCUGUUGAGAGUAAUGAGUGGGUAGCUGUUAAGGGUCAGCCUGAAGGAACCGUCGUUAAAGUUGGCUACUCAAAUUCCGUCUCAGGUUUCUUCACUAUUCACAGAGCUUCCUUUGCCAAUAGCUAUAAAUUUCAGUUCUGUUCAACUGCUGGGUCCUGCGGUAAUGUUGGGAUUGUUAGGGAUGAAGCAGGGAACAGGAUUUUGGCCAUCGAUCAGGAUACCCCAUUCCAGUUUUAUCUUGAGCAACUUCCCUCUGAAGUAUCUAAAUGAAGCUCUGAACAUGAAAAAUCGUACACUUUCUCCGUUGGAGAGAGGUGUCUACGAUGUGCUUUGGAUGUAAUUAACUACCCAACACUAAGUAAAUAACAUAUCCAAAGCUUAUUUCUGUUUCUUCCUUUCUUUUUAGUAUUUAAAAACUUUUACUUCACUGAAGUUAUUAUACGAUAAUUUAUUAAAAAGAAAUAAAAUUAUAUUCUAUAAAACAUAGGAAACUGUAAGUUUAAAAAAAUUUAAAUAAAUUCAGUAAAAAUAUUAAACCAUUUAUAUUAUUUUCUAUAAAAGUUAAAUUAGUAAAUUAUCAUCAUAAUGAUUUUUUUAUGAAAAAUAAUUUUAAUCUAUAUAUGUUUAUAAAAAAUUUAAACAUCCAUGUCAUUUUUCUCUGUGAUUUCAAGGAAAAUACGUGGAAGGACUCAUUAGGGGAUCUCACCGUUGAAGAUUUUUUUACAUAAAUUCUAUACAAUAUCUAGAAUUAUUUGAUGACUUUUAAUGAACAUCAUCUACCAUCAUCAAAUGACAUAUCCUAGAAAGAGUGUGAUGCGCUAGUAUCUACAAUUUCAAUGCUCAUUUUUUUCUUUUGUUAUUAAUAAAUCUAUACAAAACAAGAAUCAUCUAUUAUUCCAUGACUACUUAGGAAAUAAGCUAUUUAUAUUAGGUCUUAACAAGUAAGUUUUAUGAAUAAAUAAAUAUUUUCUUAUGACCAUUAAUCAACAAAAAUAUAGCUUGUAUUUAUACUAUAAGUUUUUAUUAAUAAUACUAAAUAAUGAUUAAAUAAUUUUGAAUUUGUAAAACAGUCUAUAAUUAUUUAAUUAAUAUAAUGAUUAAAUAUUUUUUUCUAAAUUAGUUCACAUAAUUAACUUUUCAGAUUUAAAUUACCCACUUGCAAAUUAAUAAAUAUUUUUGUCUGAUAAUUAAAUCAAUCAAAUAUAGUACAAAUAUAUUUUGUGUGAAUAAUAUAGUUUACGAAGGAUAACAAAGACCCUUUUCGCAUACGACGCUACGAUGGUCCCCAAACGUUUAAUGUAAUCUGUGGCGAAAAGGAUACAAUGUUACCAAAUGUUUUGGCCCCAAACAUCACAAUCGUUCUGCAAAUAAUUACAAAGACACAGUUUUGGCACGUGAUAGCUAAUUUUGCAAUCAUUUCAGUUUUAUCGGAUGUUCUCGAAGGAAUACGUAGAACAGUUUUUUUUUUUUUUUUUUAAUCGAGUUGAUAGAUUUCAGCAAGGAAGAGUGAAAGAACAUCAGGAAAGUAACGUUAAAAAAAUCAUAACAUUAACAAGUAAUUUUUUUGAUUAAUUCGGUUUAGUCUUUAUAGUUCAACUUUGUUUUUAUAAUAUGAAAUUUAUAGUUUCUUUAAUUGUAAUUCAAAUUCUUAGGUGUUCUAAUAUGCUUGUAUUGGGAGAAGCUCUGAAAGUAAGUAAAUGAAUUCACUGAAGUGGGAAAUAAAAGUUGUUGUGAGGUGUUCAUUUAAACUGUUCAUAAAAGUCACGUGACAACUGUUCAUUUAAACUGCUUUGACCAGCUUUGACUUGAAGAAAACUUGCAUCAGAAACUAAACUUGAAUGAAAGAAGUUGACCUAGAAAUUAAACAACACCAACCAGUGAAGAGCUCUAAAAGUUAUAUUCUUAGAUUUCAAGCUUUGCAUUGACUUUUCUUCUUCUAAAACAGAUUUUAGAUUUUCAUUCCUUGUUUCAAGUGAUUCUUGAUUUUGUUAUCUUACUAGACGUAAUUAUGGAAUCGUGUUAAGUUCUAGUGAAUCUAAAGGAUUAUCUAAGGAACACAUGUGUAUUUCUGUACAGGGAUUGUUUCUCGUAGUAUUUUUUGAGAAGAAGGAAGAAAUAGUCAUCUCGAAAGACCUGAGAUUUAUGUAUGUAUCAAUCACUAGAUAUGUCUGGUUUUCAUAGGAAGAUCAUCCAAGAACCUGUCUUGGAGUUCUUUACAGUGUUAAUAAAAUCUGAGUACCUAUCAGUUGGUAUUCAGAGUCUUUUUCCUUGUGUUGUGAUGAUUGUUGAGGCAUGUUGAAUACAAGAAUGGAGGCAAGAUUGGAUGGGAUGGAGAAAAUAGUGCAAGAAGAGGACUAUGAGAAUCAUAGAAGGUUCCAAAAAUUAGAGGAGAUGAUUAAAGGAUUGACGAUGGCGAUAGAAAGAUUAACGUCCUCUGAUAAACAUACAAAAGUUAAUACUUUUGUUGCCAAGGGAGAGGGAGUUACGAUAUCCGGGAUAAAGAGGGAAGAGGUUGAGUCGUGGCUUCUUCAAAAUGGACGAAGUUGGACAUUCCUGUUUUUGCAAGAGACGAGGCUUAUGCCAGAACUAACAGGUUGGAGAGGUAUUUUCGUUUGAAAGGAUUAGGUGAGGAGGAAAGGGUGCAAGCUGUUAUGGUUGCCUUGGAGGGGAACACCUUGAAUUGGUUUUAAUGGUGGGAAACCUGCAAUUUGAAUCCCACGUGGAAGGCUUUCAAGGGGUUGGUGGUUCGGUGGCCAAUAAUGCUUCAAAAUCCUUCUGAAGUAUUGGUUGGGCUACGUCAAAUUGGGUUACGCCAAAUUGGGUUGUGAAAUCAUAGAAAAACACUAUAUAAAAGAGUAAGGAGGUUGAAUAGUAUUUUCAAAUUCAUUUCGCAUCAUAGUGUCUGAUAACUAAAUAAUUAGUAGUAAAGGAUAAUUUUAAAUGCUGGAGUUCAUAGAAUUUGUUUAGAAGGAUUUUACAAAGAAGAAUAAUGUUUAGCCUUUAAACUCUAGUGAUAAAAAGAAGUGUGAGUUUUCAAAAGAGUACUUUAAGUGUACCUUAUAUUUGAGUAAAAGUGUGCUUACUUAAAUGUUGUUAUUAACAUUCUUGAUUUUGUUACCUUACUUGAGUAUUUUACCCAUUACUAACACUUCAGUAUUCUAACCACUCUUGGCAUCUGAGUAUUCUAGCCAUUCUUGGAAUCUGAGUAUUCUAGCCACUAUUGGAAUAUGAGUAUUCUAAUCACUUUUGGCAUCCCUAGACAUUUGGUAUAUUUCUAAUACGCCUCUAGUUGAGUAUCAUCUACUACUAUAGGAUAUUACAAGGUACGCCUGUAGUUGGAAUAUGAGUAUCAUCUGGCAUACAACAAAUCCACUAUGGGAUAUUACAAGGUACACAUGUUUAACUCUCAAUGAGAGGAUAUGGUUACAAUUACAAUCUGACACUUGUAAAGUUACAAAUUUACUUUAACUAUCCUAGAGAGGAUAAAUUAAUGACGUACAGUCUUGUAACUUUGAGGUUGCUUCCCUUGCUAAAGAGCAUUAGACAAUGUAAGCUUGAUGAGCAACAACAUUGAUUUUCAAUAUUCAUGCUUGUGCUUGCUCUUUAUUUGUUCUCUUUAGUGAGGUCUGUUGAAAUUGUUGAUAGGGGGAGCAUAGAUUUAGCUUAACCCACAAUCUCAAUGAUAACUGUGUUUUUUAUGAUGACAACACAUAAUUAAUAACACAUGUGUAUUAUGUGUUUACAUGUUUUAUGAUUACAUGUUAUAUGCUUUUGUUUAAUGUGUUACAUCUAUAUAAGCAUAUAUGGGAACAUGAUUGUGUUUUUUUACUGCAUACCAUUGUGUUUAAUAUGUGAUUUUAUUUGUGGGCAUAACAUAUGUUUUUGGAAAUGGAUAAACCAUAAGCACUCUGGUUGAACUUUAAAUGUGUGGCAAAACAACAAUUUUAAGUCGAUUACAUUAUGGGAUGAAUCAAUUAAAACUCGUGUAUUUGCACAAACUCUUUUCAAAUGUGCUGUGAGAUAUUUUGAAGAGAAAAGUUUUCAAAAUUUUUCUAAGUGUUGUUGUUUAAUCGACUGCAUGCGAUUUAUAUUCGACUAAGUUAGUUGCUAUUUUGAAAACUGGUUGAAUGCUUGACAUAAUUGUCUUAACAAUGAUAUUUUUAAAUGUGUUGACCAAGCAUUAAUGGUGAAUUGAUUACAUUAAUUGCGCUUUCAAUUAAUGAGCUUGAUUGAUGUUAGACUGUUAUAACUACAAGAUGUAUUCGACUACAUUAGUAGCGAAAUCGAUUAAUAUGUGUUUGAUGCGUGUAUUACUAUAAAUUGACGCUAAUGUGAAUUCUGUAAGAACUUUUGUGCAUUAACAUUUUCAUAUCUUUCAGAUAAUGCUGUGUGAUCUUACAAAGAAAAGAAACGCUCCAAGAACCAGAGAUUGACCGUGGUGAUAAAAGACUCGAAGGUUUCUUGAGAAGCAAGGUUACUAGGUUUUGAACAUCUGAUCAAUCUACACAAAGAGGUGUAUUCUACGCUAUUAGGAAUUUGCAAUCUUUGAAUAUUGGCUUGGAUUCCCUGUGUGAUUACAGGAAGAAGAACCGUGUUCUAGACUUUAAGGGUGCCUCAAAGGGUUUGACAAUAGAAGAGGGUGAUCUUGCUACGUGUUGUAUUGUUUACUGCCUAUAUUAGAUUAUAGGGUUAAAGAGGUGUUUUACAUUUUUUACGUGAGGUCUUUGUAAAAUGUUUGGUGUAAAAACCUUGAUCUUUAUAGUGCUUUCGAGAUAAGGACGCAAUAGGGCAGUUUGGCAGAUUCAAGUCUUGUAACCUUUAGCAUGUUAUCAGAGAUUGUAGCAGGCCAAUCUACUUGUAUAUUUUCCUUCAGAGCUUUUAGCAAAAAUAAGUCUUCAGUGGUGGCCUGAGCGUGAUUUCCACCCUUUGGCAUAAGUAUCCAUGAAAUAAUAGAGAUAGCAAGCCGACUGCCCUUCUUCAUUCCAUCAGUCUUAUAGUUGGAGUAGUCUUUGCAAUCAUUAGGAUUCCUCAGAGUGUCCUAAUAUUCAGAGAAUUUAUGAAAACCUUCUAUCCCCAAGUGACACUUUUCACACCAAGUUUCAGUCCUACAAGUUCUGUCCAAACUUCAUCUGUUAGCUUGAUGUCAACACCUUUUACUCUCGAACAGAGUGUGUCACCUUCAAUUCUUAAGCUAAAGUAAAACACCUUUACGAGGUCAGGAUACUAAGGGUCUACCAUUUCCACAAAGUUUUUCAAGCCUUGGCGUCUAAACCAACUUUGAAAGAUGAACCCUUCAUCUUUGAAGAUUUUUAGCUUUAAGAACUUGUGAGACACCAAAUUUCUUAUCUUCCAACAUUUGAUAUAUUUUGACUGAGCUUCAU
rnacentral:lncRNA from 1 species